GCGGUCGUGGUGGAAUUGGUAGACACGCAACGUUGAGGUCGUUGUUCCCAUCACAUGGGAUUGAAAGUUCGAGUCUUUUCGACCGCACCA
rnacentral:tRNA from 1 species